rnacentral:rRNA from 1 species
UACGUAGGGUGCGAGCGUUAAUCGGAAUGACUGGGCGUAAAGGGUGCGCAGGCGGUUGGUCAAGACGGAUGUGAAAGCCCCGGGCUUAACCUGGGAGUGUCAUUCGUGACUGACGAACUAGAAUAUGGCAGAGGGAGGCGGAAUUCCACAUGUAGCAGUGAAAUGCGUAGAGAUGUGGAGGAACACCGAUGGCGAAGGCAGCCCCCUGGGCUAACACUGACGCUCAUGCACGAAAGCGUGGGGAGCAAACAGG